rnacentral:rRNA from 1 species
AUUGAACGCUGGCGGCAUGCUUUACACAUGCAAGUCGAACGGUAACAGGCCGCAAGGUGCUGACGAGUGGCGAACGGGUGAGUAAUGCAUCGGAACGUGCCCAGUCGUGGGGGAUAACUGCUCGAAAGAGCAGCUAAUACCGCAUACGAUCUGCGGAUGAAAGCGGGGGACCUUCGGGCCUCGCGCGAUUGGAGCGGCCGAUGUCAGAUUAGGUAGUUGGUGGGGUAAAGGCUCACCAAGCCAACGAUCUGUAGCUGGUCUGAGAGGACGACCAGCCACACUGGGACUGAGACACGGCCCAGACUCCUACGGGAGGCAGCAGUGGGGAAUUUUGGACAAUGGGGGCAACCCUGAUCCAGCAAUGCCGCGUGCAGGAAGAAGGCCUUCGGGUUGUAAACUGCUUUUGUACGGAACGAAACGGUCUGGGUUAAUACCCUGGGGUCAUGACGGUACCGUAAGAAUAAGCACCGGCUAACUACGUGCCAGCCGCCGCAGUAAGAC